GUGUAUUUUGUGCAAGAAAUUGCAAUAAAAUAGUCUGCCUAAGAAAAAUUGAAUUUUUUUGAAAAUUUUUUUUGACGAAAAUCGCUUUAAUGAUCAUAAAAUUGGUGUUCCUCUACUCGGAUCGGGCUGUCAAUUUUUUUCUACACUUUUAGGUGUAUUUUGUGCAAGAAAUUGCAAUAAAAUAGUCUGCCUAAGAAAAAUUGAAUUUUUUUGAAAAUUUUUUUUGACGAAAAUCGCUUUAAUGAUCAUAAAAUUGGUGUUCCUCUACUCGGAUCGGGCUGUCAAUUUUUUUCUACACUUUUAGGUGUAUUUUGUGCAAGAAAAUGCAAUAAAAUCGUCUGCCUAAGAAAAAUUGAAUUUUUUUGGUUAGUUUUUUAUGCUUUUGGAUGCGUUUUUGGUCAUAAAAAGGGUGUUCCUCUACUCGGAUCUGGGUGUCAAUUUUUUUCUACACUUUUAGGUGUAUUUUGUGCAAGAAAAUGCAAUAAAAUCGUCUGCCUAAGAAAAAUUGAAUUUUUUUGAAAAUUUUUUUUGACGAAAAUCGCUUUAAUGAUCAUAAAAUUGGUGUUCCUCUACUCGGAUCGGGCUGUCAAUUUUUUUCUACACUUUUAGGUGUAUUUUGUGCAAGAAAAUGCAAUAAAAUAGUCUGCCUAAGAAAAAUUGAAUUUUUUUCAAAAUUUUUUUUGACGAAAGUCGCUUUAAUGGUCAUAAAAUUGGUGUUCCUCUACUCGGAUCGGGCUGUCAAUUUUUUUCUACACUUUUAGGUGUAUUUUGUGCAAGAAAAUGCAAUAAAAUAGUCUGCCUAAGAAAAAUUGAAUUUUUUUGAAAAUUUUUUUUGACGAAAAUCGCUUUAAUGAUCAUAAAAUUGGUGUUCCUCUACUCGGAUCGGGCUGUCAAUUUUUUUCUACACUUUUCGGUGUAUUUUGUGCAAGAAAAUGCAAUAAAAUAGUCUGCCUAAGAAAAAUUGAAUUUUUUUGAAAAUUUUUUUUGACGAAAAUCGCUUUAAUGAUCAUAAAAUUGGUGUUCCUCUACUCGGAUCGGGCUGUCAAUUUUUUUCUACACUUUUCGGUGUAUUUUGUGCAAGAAAAUGCAAUAAAAUAGUCUGCCUAAGAAAAAUUGAAUUUUUUUGAAAAUUUUUUUUGACGAAAAUCGCUUUAAUGAUCAUAAAAUUGGUGUUCCUCUACUCGGAUCGGGCUGUCAAUUUUUUUCUACACUUUUCGGUGUAUUUUGUGCAAGAAUAUGCAAUAAAAUCGUCUGCCUAAGAAAAAUUGAAUUUUUUUGUUUAGUUUUUUAUGCUUUUGGAUGCGUUUUUGGUCAUAAAAAGGGUGUUCCUCUACUCGGAUCUGGGUGUCAAUUUUUUUCUACACUUUUAGGUGUAUUUUGUGCAAGAAAAUGCAAUAAAAUCGUCUGCCUAAGAAAAAUUGAAUUUUUUUGGUUAGUUUUUUAUGCUUUUGGAUGCGUUUUUGGUCAUAAAAAGGGUGUUCCUCUACUCGGAUCUGGGUGUCAAUUUUUUUCUACACUUUUCGGUGUAUUUUGUGCAAGAAUAUGCAAUAAAAUCGUCUGC